UACGUAGGUGGCAAGCGUUGUCCGGAAUCACUGGGCGUAAAGCGCGCGCAGGCGGCGAUCUACGUCUGGGGUGAAAGCCCGGAGCUCAACUCCGGGACUGCCUUGGAUACGGGAUCGCUUGAGGAUUGGAGAGGCAAGGGGAAUUCCACGUGUAGCGGUGAAAUGCGUAGAUAUGUGGAGGAACACCUGUGGCGAAGGCGCCUUGCUGGCCAAUUUCUGACACUGAGAGACGAAAGCUAGGGGAGCAAAUGGG
rnacentral:rRNA from 1 species